AUUCCGUAAGUAAAACCAUGCUGGAGACCCCCUGAGAUGAGAAAGCAAGGGUGGGGGGGAGAGCAGCUUGCUGGUAUCUUGUUUAACUUGGCCAUUUGAACGAAACUCAGAUUCUAGAAACAACCAGUUGUAUGAAGCCUUGGGGUUGGCGGAGGAGGAAAAGAGUAGAAGAAAAUGAAACAGAGGACCAGCAGGCAGGUGUGGGACACACAGCCGCACAGACUGACCCUAACUGUAAACUAGAAGACAAGGCAGAAGAUGGAGAAGUGCUAGACUGUAAGAAAAGGCCGGAUGAAGGGGAGGAGUUAGAAGAAGAAGCUGUGCACAGCUGUGACAGCUGCCUCCAGGUGUUUGAGUCGCUGAGUGAUAUCACAGAACACAAGAUUAAUCAAUGUCAACUGACAGG